GUGAGUGGAGGGUGGAAGGAUCUUGCCUAUUGUUAAGUCACUCUCUCUAUGAGGUUAAGUGGAGGAGGUAUAGGUUGGCUGGCUAUAAGUGAACACCACAGUCAGGGAUGAAAACAAAGUAACCCUGAUUAAAAUGUAUCCAGUGUCAAUCUCACAGAAGAAAAGAGGAACUUUACACACUGUUCGGUUUGAGGCUGCUGCCAUGGAGACCUAUGUCAGGAUUUUAGACCAGGAGAAUCUCAUUAAAUCCUAUUACAAAUAUUUUGGUCUCAGUCUUAUACACUGGCCAAUGACACGAAGUAAUCAAGGAAUUGAGUUAAAUUAACUGUUCGAUCAGGAGGAAGGGAUGCUGCGUAGGGAGGAACCGGAGACGGGGAAGAAAAGAAUCGCACAUAGAAGGUCAGACUCGUGGCGGCAGGUAAGAUACCACCUUACUUUUUCAAAAUGAACCAUAAUGGAAUGGACACGGGGUUUUAAAAGAUUGUUUUCUGUUCUCACACGCUCUAGGCUGCUAGAUUUCUUUACGAUUUGGAAAAAGCGAGGAGCUUUAGCACAGACAGACCUUCCACUUGCAGACACAGGCAAAGCUGUAGGGAAGUAGCUAGAACUCAGCACACUGGUACUCACGGCCCAGUGUAAGUGAACGAAAUGGUAUGGGACAGACCCCGAAUGCUAAACUCAGGGCACAGAUGAUAAAUAGUCCAUUACAGGUUUGCAAACAAGGAUAUUACAGAAGCCAUACUUUAGCAUCCACACACCAAACAUCCAAAGAGUUCUGGAAUGAUUUUCACAGAGUUGAGAACAGUAAUACAACUCCUAGACUGGUAACGUAGCCUGAAAAAUCCAGUAUUUGGUUCUUCAGGAACUUUGUGAAUAUUUGUUGGGAAGUCUUCACAGCAGCGCCUCACUUGGAUAGCAACGCUCUUUCGUUGUGAGGAGAGCAGAUUACUUUUUGAAAUGGAGAACAGUGGUUUUCCUCGUUCAAUACAAGAGCAAUCCAUCAUAGAACUCAAUAACAUGUCUGGGAUGCAAAUACAGUUCUCACAAAGCCUUGACGCUCUAUUCCCUAAUCAGAGAAGCAGGGCACGGCCUACAGAAUCAUUUGCCUCUUCAGUACAAAGUUAUGCUUAAACUGGGAGACAGCACAGAAUCAAUUAAAGAAGAGGAAAGACAAGGCAAACUGAUAGCCCCCCCUCCCCCACAAUGCCCUCGAGAGUGCACACACACACACACACACACACACACACACACACACAGCACCCGAGGCACACAGUGCAACUCAGGGGCAGCCAGAAUCAGACACUGGAAGCUGGACAGAAACGCAACUAUACAGGCUGAGUCAUCCUCCACCUUCCAAACGACAACCAGCAAAGCACAGAGAUAGAGCUCAGAUGCUAAAAAUCUAAAAAGCUUUUACUUCUUCCCAAUAGCGCUGCCCCCUUCUUUCUUCCUAUUUCUAAUAACAAGGUUCUGUAAUUAAAAACUAAUCACAGGAUGGAGGUAGAGCCCUGUUCCUUUUCUAGUCUUACUGUCAGAGGAAACCAAGAAGGGAGCCAAGAAAUACUCUGAAUUUUACCCCUUGGCUUCCAGCACCUUUGGCGAUGGUAAGGUCUUCUCUCCAUGAGGUACUGAGGGAGGAACUUGUGACUGCAUCUUGAGAACAAACGUGCGGAUGGCCCCACCUAAGGAUCUGUAGAGAAUCCUGAUUGGUCUCCUUCUCAAAUUCCUCCUCCUGUUUUCAACCGCUCCCAUUUAUAGUCUGGCUUCAACUCCAACAGCUCAAACUGACAUCUCUAUUCUGCAGUCUCAUUUAGCAGGCGUCCAGGCCACGGGCUUUAACACGCAGUUGGUGUGAAGCACGCUUUGCCCUGGGUAGUCAGACAGCUAGUGGAACCUUAGUAGAGUUUUCAUAAGAGUUAAAGUCUUUAGUAGAGGGAUAAUCUUCCCCCGAGUCAUGUGUUUCCUAAACACAGACAUCUUUAUUCUAGACGGCUCUCACUUAUCUAACCCAGGCUGAUCUCAAACCCAAAUCUACCCGCUUGCCUCAGCCUUAUGCUUCCAAAAAAAGAAAAAAUAAACUAGUCCGCCUUUGGAAAACAACCCAGAAUUAACUUGUGGUGCACAAGCAUGCUCUGUGGACCACCUUUUUGACUUUGAAGCACAAAUGGGAAAAAAAUUCCUUGCAUACGCAUACUAGUAAAAACACACAGUAUCAUGCAAGCAUUUGACCAGCAAAUAACUGUAGUCAACCUCAGCAGGCACUAACUUUAUAAUAUGCAUACUUUUGAAGAAUGAGCAAAAGACACAAGUAAAAAAUAUUUUAAAGUUUACUUCAUAAGCUGAGGAUUGGGUAUACUGAUAUUAUAAACAGAUGUUUACAAUCUAAGCACAUGGUACAUGGUUCUUUCAUCUAAAAUGUGAUUUUUUUUUUUUUUUUGAAAUGCAGGGGAAUCAAACACACUGGUACACACAUGCUAGGUAAGCGCUUUCCCCCUCUGAGCAAUCUAUGCCUAACUCUAACAUUUCCUUCCAUCUUGAAAUAAGAAUGAAAACUUUGUUUCCGUAAUGGCUACGACAAGCUUAUGGAUCACGUGAGAGGGAGAAAGCCAAGUGCUUUCCAGGCUGAGGAUCGCCAUUAGGACAAACGAAACAUGACAAGGCUCUGGAAAGUGGGCGUGCCUCAUAAUUAUCCCCAUGUACAGUGGAACUAGAACACUAGGGUUAGGGCCAGGCUUUGAAGAGGAGCUGGAUUGAAUAUCCUAGUAAGAUCACCAGUGUAAGGGGAAGCCCUGGGUCCUGCUAAGACUGAACCCC